rnacentral:rRNA from 1 species
AAACGUAGGAGGCGAGCGUUAUCCGGAUUUACUGGGCGUAAAGCGCGUGUAGGCGGCUCGGAAAGUUGGAUGUGAAAGCUCCUGGCUUAACUGGGAGAGGUCGUUCAAAACUACCGAGCUUGAGGAUGAGAGAGGGAGGCGGAAUUCCGGGUGUAGUGGUGAAAUGCGUAGAUAUCCGGAGGAACACCAGUGGCGAAAGCGGCCUCCUGGCUCAUAACUGACGCUCAGACGCGAAAGCUAGGGUAGC